CAGUUCGGAUUGAAGGCUGAAAUUCGCCUACAUGAAGCUGGAAUUGCUAGUAAUGGCAGGUCAGCAUACUGCCGUGAAUACGUUCCCGGGCCUUGUACACACCGCCCGUCACACCAUGAGAGUUGGGGAUACCCGAAGCCUGUGAGCCAACUGUAAAGAGGCAGCAGUCGAAGGUAGAAUCAAUGAUUGGGGUGAAGUCGUAACAAGGUACC
rnacentral:rRNA from 1 species